rnacentral:rRNA from 1 species
AGCAGCCGCGGUAAUUCCAGCUCCAAUAGCGUAUAUUAAAGUUGUUGCAGUUAAAAAGCUCGUAGUUGAAUUUCGGGGUUAGUAGGUUGGUCAUGCCUCUGGUAUGUACUGGUCUCACUGAUUCCUCCUUCCUGAUGAACCUUAAUGCCAUUAAAUUUGGUGUUUUGGGGAAUUUGGACUGUUACUUUGAAAAACUAGAGUGUUUAAAGCAAGCUAACGCUUGAAUACAUUAGCAUGGAAUAAUGAAAUAGGACGUUCGAUCCUAUUUUGUGGUUUCUAGGAUUGACGUAAUGAUUAAUAGGGAUAGUUGGGGGCAUUAGUAUUCAAUUGUCAGAGGUGAAAUUCUUGGAUUUAUUGAAGACUAACUACUGCGAAAGCAUUUGCCAAGGAUGUUUUCAUUAAUCAAGAACGAAAGUUAGGGGAUCGAAGACGAUCAGAUACCGUCGUAGUCUUAACCAUAAACUAUGCCGACUAGGGAUCGGAUGAUGUUAAUUUUUUAAUGACUCAUUCGCGCCUUACG